rnacentral:rRNA from 1 species
AGGGGCAGCGCAGUGUAGCAAUACAUGGGGCGGCGACCGGCAAACGGGUGCGGAACACGUACGCAACCUUCCUUUAAGUGGGGGAUAGCUUUCGGAAACGAAAAUUAAUACCCCGUAACACUGUGAGAUGGCAUCAUCUUAUAGUUAUAGCUCCGGCGCUUAAAGAUGGGCGUGCGCCUGAUUAGGUAGUUGGCGGAGUAACAGCCCACCAAGCCUACGAUCAGUAACUGGUGUGAGAGCACGACCAGUCACACGGGCACUGAGACACGGGCCCGACUCCUACGGGAGGCAGCAGUAAGGAAUAUUGGUCAAUGGACGCAAGUCUGAACCAGCCAUGCCGCGUGGAGGAUGAAGAUCCUCUGGAUUGUAAACUUCUUUUAUCGGAGAAGAAACCCCAGUUUUCUUGCUGGGUUGACGGUACCCGAUGAAUAAGCACCGGCUAACUCCGUGCCAGCAGCCGCGGUAAUACGGAGGGUGCAAGCGUUA